CGGUGUGGUACCAAUAUGAAAAAAAUAGAACGCAGACAGCGGAAUCCACCAGAUGGCAAGAUAUCGGGCAAUACAAUUUGGGAAUUCAAAAUCCUGAUUUCUGUGGAGUGCUAAAGACGACGGCCUUAAAAGCUUCCUGCCAUAAUGAUACGCUUCUUGCCGGCGCAAUUCCCCACCUCCGACCACACUGGAAUACCCUGGCUGGCGCGAUGGGUUCGGACACGCUCGGUGUAAGUGUGCCACCUCAAGGCUGGCCCAUCGGCAACUCCACACAAGCUCCAGGAAAGCAGACCCAGCUCUCCACCACUCCGUCGGCCACAGCAAGUCCCAAAAUGCAAGGCGGUUGCAAACUCUGACCGGCAAGAAAGGGGUGACCACAGUUUGCAGGGACGGGCACUCAGCUUCUGGCCGUCGAUUUCCCUACCGAAACGGAUAAAAUAAAUACGCGGGGCUCAGCCAUUCCGA